rnacentral:rRNA from 1 species
UACGAGGGGUGCAAGCGUUGCUCGGAAUUAUUGGGCGUAAAGGGUAGGUAGGUGGUCUCGUUUGUCUGGGUGAAGCCUUGAGCUUAACUCAAGAAGUGCCCUAGAAACGGCGAGACUAGAGUCUUGGAGAGGGUCGUGGAAUUCCCGGUGUAGCGGUGAAAUGCGUGAGAUCGGGAGGAACACCAGAGGCGAAGGCGGCGACCUGGACAAGUACUGACACUCAAC